AUUGAACGCUGGCGGCAGGCUUAACACAUGCAAGUCGAGCGGAGCGAGGGUGCUUGCACCUUAGCUUAGCGGCGGACGGGUGAGUAAUGCUUAGGAAUCUGCCUAUUAGUGGGGGACAACAUUCCGAAAGGAAUGCUAAUACCGCAUACGCCCUACGGGGGAAAGCAGGGGAUCUUCGGACCUUGCGCUAAUAGAUGAGCCUAGGUCGGAUUAGCUAGUUGGUGGGGUAAAGGCCUACCAAGGCGAGGAUCUGUAGCGGGUCGGAGAGGAUGAUCCGCCACACUGGGACUGAGACACGGCCCAGACUCCUACGGGAGGCAGCAGUGGGGAAUAUUGGACAAUGGGCGGAAGCCUGAUCCAGCCAUGCCGCGUGUGUGAAGAAGGCCUUUUGGUUGUAAAGCACUUUAAGCGAGGAGGAGGCUACUUAGAUUAAUACUCUAGGAUAGUGGACGUUACUCGCAGAAUAAGCACCGGCUAACUCUGUGCCAGCAGCCGCAGUAAGAC
rnacentral:rRNA from 1 species